AAAAAAGCUAUUUUAAUAGUUGGUGUAUAUAUAUCUACAUAGUCCAGGUGAGAUACUAUUGGUGCUAUCAAGUUUUUCGCCUUUAGAUUUAACCAUUUGACUAUUUUUAUCCGUUAGAUUAGUACUAUUAAACCAAUAACUCACUCAAUUCUAGAGGGCCCAUAUUAUUCUAACCGUAUAUUUUUUCAUUCAAGAGCUGAAAACCUAAUAGCACAAAUAGUUUGGUACUAUUGAUAGUAUUCCAGCCUAGAUCUAGAGAGAGAGAGAGAAUCAAGAUUUUUUUUUAUUUUUUUUUUAUUUUUUUUUUUGAGAGAUAGGUUGCAGCUACCCGCUUCGUUUAUUCCAUUUUAGAAAUAAACUUAACUUGAAAUGUGAAUCAACUAGGAUUCGAACUUGAAACUUCGGGUACCAACCAUCAAGCCCUUUGCCGCUUGCUCUGGAGACGGUCGAUAGUCAAGUCAUUUUUGAUGCUGUAUCUUCUGUGUUUCAUCGAU
rnacentral:lncRNA from 1 species